rnacentral:lncRNA from 1 species
CACGUGUCCCUUAUUGAUUUUGUUACAAAAUGUUAAGUUAUCACCUUUACAGCUCACCUGGCAUAACAGGUCAAAUGAGCUUGUGCUGAUGUUCAACAUUUAAAUAAUUUCAUUUCAGGGGCUUUAAAGAUUUAUUGGUAUGUCCCAAUACAUUUUCAAUAUAUCACUUUAUGCUGUCAAUCACAGAUCUUGUUGGUAGUGAUGGUCUGAUGAUUCACAAAACUCAAAUUCUCCAGUCAUUGGAGAAAAAGAUAUCAGCAUUAUACCUUAACUUUUCUUUGUCUCAAAUAACCAGAAAAAAAAAAAAUUGGCAACAAAUAUAAAUGAAGAAUCAUGAUUUCUCAAAAUUUCCACUAAACAGCUCAUCUGGCAUUAAAGGUCAUGUAAGCUUGUGACUCAACUUGGUGUCUGUGGUAAUCCAUUACUUCUCCGAUCAGAAUUACUAAAAAAACUAUUAUAAGAAAAUAAAAAUAAAGAUUCAAG